AGGACGAACGCUGGCGGCGUGCUUAACACAUGCAAGUCGAACGGUGACGAGGGAGCUUGCUCCCUCUGAUCAGUGGCGAACGGGUGAGUAACACGUGAGUAACCUGCCCCAGACUCUGGGAUAACAUCGGGAAACCGGUGCUAAUACCGGAUACGAGACGCUCCUGCAUGGGAAGCGUCUGGAAAGAUUUAUCGGGUCUGGGAUGGACUCGCGGCCUAUCAGCUAGUUGGUGAGGUAAUGGCUCACCAAGGCGACGACGGGUA
rnacentral:rRNA from 1 species